AUUGAACGCUGGCGGCAGGCCUAACACAUGCAAGUCGAACGAGUGGCGGACGGGUGAGUAAUGUCUGGGAAUCUGCCUGAUGGAGGGGGAUAACUACUGGUAACGGUAGCUAAUACCGCAUACCAUCAGAUGUGCCCAGAUGGGAUUAGCUAGUAGGUGGGGUACUGGCUGACCUAGGCGACGAUCCCUAGCUGGUCUGAGAGGAUGACCAGCCACACUGGACCUGAGGCACGGUCCAGACUCCUACGGGAGGGAGCAGUGGGGAAUAUUGCACGAUGGGCGCAAGCCUGAUGAAGCCAUGCCGCGUGUGUGAAGAAGGCCUUCGGUUUGUAAAGCACUUUCGGCGAGGAGGCGUUACUCGCAGAAGAAGCACCGGCUAACUCCGUGCCAGCAGCCGCGGUAAUUC
rnacentral:rRNA from 1 species